rnacentral:rRNA from 1 species
CGCAAGGUUAAAACUCAAAUGAAUUGACGGGGGCCCGCACAAGCGGUGGAGCAUGUGGUUUAAUUCGAUGCAACGCGAAGAACCUUACCUGGUCUUGACAUCCAGGUGCUGCAUGGCUGUCGUCAGCUCGUGUUGUGAAAUGUUGGGUUAAGUCCCGCAACGAGCGCAACCCUUAUCCUUUGUUGCAACUCAAAGGAGACUGCCAGUGAUAAACUGGAGGAAGGUGGGGAUGACGUCAAGUCAUCAUGGCCCUUACGACCAGGGCUACACACGUGCUACAAUGGCGCAUACAAAGAGAAGCGACCUCGCGAGAGCAAGCGGACCUCAUAAAGUGCGUCGUAGUCCGGAUUGGAGUCUGCAACUCGACUCCAUGAAGUCGGAAUCGCUAGUAAUCGUGGAUCAGAUGCCACGGUGAAUACGUUCCCGGGCCUUGUACACACCGCCCGUCACACCAUGGGAGUGGGUUGCAAAAGAAGUAGGUUACCACUUUGUGAUUCAUGACUGGGGUGAAGUCGUAACAAGGUAACCGA